rnacentral:rRNA from 1 species
UAGAUACCCUGGUAGUCCACGCUGUAAACGAUGUCGAUUUGGGGAUUGGGCUUUAAGCUUGGUGCCCGUAGCUAACGUGAUAAAUCGACCGCCUGGGGAGUACGGCCGCAAGGUUAAAACUCAAAUGAAUUGACGGGGGCCCGCACAAGCGGUGGAGCAUGUGGUUUAAUUCGAUGCAACGCGAAGAACCUUACCUACUCUUGACAUCCAUGGAAUCUUGUAGAGAUACGAGAGUGCCUUCGGGAACCAU